rnacentral:rRNA from 1 species
AUUGAACGCUGGCGGCAGGCCUAACACAUGCAAGUCGGACGGUAGCACAGAGGAGCUUGCUCCUCGGGUGACGAGUGGCGGACGGGUGAGUAAUGUCUGGGGAUCUGCCCGAUAGAGGGGGAUAACCACUGGAAACGGUGGCUAAUACCGUAUAACGUCGCAAGACCAAAGAGGGGGACCUUCGGGCCUCUCACUAUCGGAUGAACCCAGAUGGGAUUAGCUAGUAGGCGGGGUAAUGGCCCACCUAGGCGACGAUCCCUAGCUGGUCUGAGAAGAUGACCAGCCACACUGGAACUGGGACACGGUCCAGACUCCUACGGGAGGCAGCAGUGGGGAAUAUUGCACAAUGGGCGCAAGCCUGAUGCAGCCAUGCCGCGUGUAUGAAGAAGGCCUUCGGGUUGUAAAGUACUUUCAGCGGGGAGGAAGGCGAUAAGGUUAAUAACCUUGUCGAUUGACGUUACCCGCAGAAGAAGCACCGGCUAACUCCGUGCCAGCCGCCGCCGUAA